UUGACCUCGAAUCAGGUAGGAAUACCCGCUGAACUUAAGCAUAUCAAUAAGCGGAGGAAAAGAAACCAACCGGGAUUACCUCAGUAACGGCGAGUGAAGCGGUAACAGCUCAAAUUUGAAAUCUGGCUCCUCUGGAGUCCGAAUUGUAAUUUGUAGAAGAUGCUUUGGGUUGUGGGUUCGGCCUAAGUUCCUUGGAACAGGACGUCAUAGAGGGUGAGAAUCCCGUAUGUGGCCGAGGCCCGCGCCUAUGUAAAGCUCUUUCAACGAGUCGAGUUGUUUGGGAAUGCAGCUCAAAAUGGGUGGUAAAUUUCAUCUAAAGCUAAAUAUGGGCCAGAGACCGAUAGCGCACAAGUAGAGUGAUCGAAAGAUGAAAAGCACUUUGGAAAGAGAGUUAAACAGUACGUGAAAUUGUUGAAAGGGAAGCGCUUGCACCCAGACUUGGGCGCUGCCGAUCACCUUGAGGUCUCCUCGAGUGCACUCGACAGCGCACAGGCCAGCAUCGGUUCGGGUGGCUGGAUAAAGGCCGUAGGAACGUAGCUCUCUUCGGGGAGUGUUAUAGCCUACGGUGCCAUGCAGCCCAGCCGGACCGAGGACCGCGCCUUCGGGCUAGGAUGCUGGCGUAAUGGGUGUAAGCGACCCGUCUUGAAACACGGACCAAGGAGUCUAACAUCUAUGCGAGUGUUUGGGUGCUAAACCCAUACGCGGAAUGAAAGUGAACGUAGGUGAGAACCCCCUUUGGGGGCGCAUCAUCGACCGAUCC
rnacentral:rRNA from 1 species